GGAAGUAAAAAAUCGUAACAAGGUCUCCGUUGGUGAACCAGCGGAGGGAUCAUUACCGAGUUUACAACUCCCAAACCCCUGUGAACAUACCUAUACGUUGCCUCGGCGGAUCAGCCCGCGCCCCGUAAAACGGGACGGCCCGCCCGAGGACCCCUAAACUCUGUUUUUAGUGGAACUUCUGAGUAAAACAAACAAAUAAAUCAAAACUUUCAACAACGGAUCUCUUGGUUCUGGCAUCGAUGAAGAACGCAGCAAAAUGCGAUAAGUAAUGUGAAUUGCAGAAUUCAGUGAAUCAUCGAAUCUUUGAACGCACAUUGCGCCCGCCAGUAUUCUGGCGGGCAUGCCUGUUCGAGCGUCAUUUCAACCCUCAAGCUCAGCUUGGUGUUGGGACUCGCGGUAACCCGCGUUCCCCAAAUCGAUUGGCGGUCACGUCGAGCUUCCAUAGCGUAGUAAUCAUACACCUCGUUACUGGUAAUCGUCGCGGCCACGCCGUAAAACCCCAACUUCUGAAUGUGACCUCGGAUGCAUGUAGCUAUAGCCC
rnacentral:rRNA from 1 species